AUUGUCGGGAGGGAAGCGGAUGGGGGUCGGCGAUGCGCCCCGGUCGGAUGUGGAACGGUUACAGCCGGUCCGCCGAUCGACUCGGGGCGUGGACCGACGAGGAUCGCAAUGGCGUCCCAAGCCCAGGCCUUCGAUAUGCCUGUGGAAAUGUCGUCAUCGCGAUCGUGGUUGGCAGCGUGCGCCGUCUCGGCGUGCCCCGGCACUUGCGCGCUCCUGUCGUCGGCCUGCGGUCUCCCCAUUCGACCCGUCUUGAAACACGGACCAAGGAGUCUGACAUGUGUGCGAGUCAACGGGCAAGAAAACCCGUGAGACGGAAGGAAGCUAAUUGGCGGGAUCUCCCUAGGGGGUGCACCGCCGACCGACCUUGAUCUUCUGAGAAGGGUUCGAGUGUGAGCAUACCUGUCGGGACCCGAAAGAUGGUGAACUAUGCCUGAGCGGGGCGAAGCCAGAGGAAACUCUGGUGGAGGCCCGAAGCGAUACUGACGUGCAAAUCGUUCGUCUGACUUGGGUAUAGGGGCGAAAGACUAAUCGAACCAUCUAGUAGCUGG
rnacentral:rRNA from 1 species